UACGUAGGUGGCGAGCGUUGUUCGGAAUUACUGGGCGUAAAGCGCGCGCAGGCGGCUUUUUAAGUCCGACGGUGAAAUGCCGGGGCUCAACCCCGUGCCCGCCGCGGAUACUGGGAAGCUGGAGACGAGUAGAGGCAAGCGGAAUUCCGGGUGUAGCGGUGGAAUGCGUAGAGAUCCGGAAGAACACCGGAGGCGAAGGCGGCUUGCUGGGCUCGGUCUGACGCUGAGGCGCGAAAGCGUGGGGAGCGAACAGG
rnacentral:rRNA from 1 species